rnacentral:rRNA from 1 species
UAAUACAGAGGGUGCGAGCGUUGUCCGGAAUCACUGGGCGUAAAGGGCGCGUAGGUGGCGUCGCAAGUCGAUGGUGAAAGCUCGUCGCUCAACGGCGAGUCGGCCAUUGAUACUGCGAGGCUGGAGCACUGUAGAGGCAGAUGGAAUUCCGGGUGUAGCGGUGGAAUGCGUAGAGAUCCGGAAGAACACCGGUGGCGAAGGCGGUCUGCUGGGCAGUUGCUGACACUGAGGCGCGACAGCGUGGGGAGCAAACAGGAUUAGAUACCCUGGUAGUCCACGCCGUAAACGAUGGGCACUAGAUGCUUGGGGGAGCGACCCCCUGAGUGUCGUCGCUAACGCAGUAAGUGCCCCGCCUGGGGAGUACGGCCGCAAGGCUG